rnacentral:rRNA from 2 species
UGCAGUCGAACGACUCUGGUAUUGAUUGGUGCUUGCAUCAUGAUUUACAUUUGAGUGAGUGGCGAACUGGUGAGUAACACGUGGGAAACCUGCCCAGAAGCGGGGGAUAACACCUGGAAACAGAUGCUAAUACCGCAUAACAACUUGGACCGCAUGGUCCGAGUUUGAAAGAUGGCUUCGGCUAUCACUUUUGGAUGGUCCCGCGGCGUAUUAGCUAGAUGGUGGGGUAACGGCUCACCAUGGCAAUGAUACGUAGCCGACCUGAGAGGGUAAUCGGCCACAUUGGGACUGAGACACGGCCCAAACUCCUACGGGAGGCAGCAGUAGGGAAUCUUCCACAAUGGACGAAAGUCUGAUGGAGCAACGCCGCGUGAGUGAAGAAGGGUUUCGGCUCGUAAAACUCUGUUGUUAAAGAAGAACAUAUCUGAGAGUAACUGUUCAGGUAUUGACGGUAUUUAACCAGAAAGCCACGGCUAACUACGUGCCAGCAGCCGCGGUAAUACGUAGGUGGCAAGCGUUGUCCGGAUUUAUUGGGCGUAAAGCGAGCGCAGGCGGUUUUUUAAGUCUGAUGUGAAAGCCUUCGGCUCAACCGAAGAAGUGCAUCGGAAACUGGGAAACUUGAGUGCAGAAGAGGACAGUGGAACUCCAUGUGUAGCGGUGAAAUGCGUAGAUAUAUGGAAGAACACCAGUGGCGAAAGCGGCUGUCUGGUCUGUAACUGACGCUGAGGCUCGAAAGUAUGGGUAGCAACAGAUUAGAUACCCUGGUAGUCAUACCGUAAACGAUGAAUGCUAAGUGUUGGAGGGUUUCCGCCCUUUCAGUGCUGCAGCUAAC